GAGAAAGUCUGAAGAGACUGCAAGACUUGAGAUCGGGUGAGGUUAAACGUACUUUCAGGGUAGGGGUAAAAUCCUGUAAUCCCGGAAGGACGACCAGUGGCGAAAGCGUUUAACUAGAACGAAUCUGACGGUAAGGAACGAAGGCUAGGGUAGCAAACCGGAUUAGAUACCCGGGUAGUCCUAGCUGUAAACAUUGCCCAUUUGAUGUUGCUUUUCCGUUGAGGGAAGGCAGUGUCGGAGCGAAGGUGUUAAAUGGGCCGCUUGGGAAGUAUGGUCGCAAGACUGAAACUUAAAGGAAUUGGCGGGGGAGCACCGCAACGGGAGGAAUGUGCGGUUUAAUUGGAUUCAACGCCGGAAAACUCACCGGGAACGACCUGUGCAUGAGAGUCAACCUGACGAGCUUACUCGAUAGCAGGAGAGGUGGUGCAUGGCCGUCGUCAGCUCGUACCGUAGGGCGUUCACUUAAGUGUGAUAACGAGCGAGACCCACAUCUUUAAUUGCAAAUGUAUAUGAGAAUAUGCAUGCACUUUAGAGAAACCGCCAGCGCUAAGCUGGAGGAAGGAGUGGUCGACGGCAGGUCAGUACGCCCCGAAUUUCCCGGGCUACACGCGCAUUACAAAGAACGGGACAAUACGUUGCAACCUCGAAAGAGGAAGCUAAUCGCGAAACCCGUCCAUAGUUAGGAUUGAGGGCUGUAACUCGCCCUCAUGAUCUGGAUUCCGUAGUAAUCGCAG
rnacentral:rRNA from 1 species